GCUGGAUAACCUUGCCUACUUGGGACCUGUUAAAGGACAUAUGCCUGCACAACCAUUUCACUGCCAGGCUCUUCAAAAGCGCAAGCAGAGUAAGAGAUGUUGGAUCCUUCUGGUGGCAAUUGAGUAUGUCUUUCAAUUGCCCAGCCACAAGCAGGCCAGUCUUGUACUAUUCAGCCACAGUUCCCCUCCAUUCCAGGUUUGAUGUUGACCUACUUUCCCAGGCUGUAAUUCACUAAUAUUCCCCUCAGCAUCCAGAUAAUAAAGUGAGAGGAAAAAAUCCAAAUCCGACUUGCACCAAGCAAUUAUUUUCACAUCCAUCUGUAUUCGCUGUGUUAGUGCCAGGGUUUUGUUAAUGCACAAAAGAGGAUAAUGAGAUCACUUUUUAAUUCUCCAUCUUCUUCCAUGUGAAGCUCUGAAAGCACUGGGGAAGAGCUGUCACGUUUUACACUGCAGUUUGAAGCACUGACUUGGUAUCUGAUAGGAAGCAUGGACACACGCUUACAGGAAGGUGCAAGAAAUAAGUGGAUAAAUAAGGAAAUGAAUGAAAAUCCCAAUGUAAAGCAUUUGACGUUGUUUCAGUAACACCUCAGGUGAUUUGUCUCCUUCUACAAAGACCAAUUUGCAACAAUGGAGUCCUUGGGUAACCCUCCACCAAAGCCAGCAAGAGGUGGGGAGAUAAAGCUCUCUGCUGCACGUAUCUCUGAGCAAAGUGCUCCUCCAGCUGCCCAGCCAGCACUGCACCAAGCACAGCCCAGCAUGUGCAGUGCAAGGACAGGGACUGAUGGCCUUGGGGCCAGCAGAGAUGAUGGCAAUCAUCCAGUCUGACUUCAGCCACACCAGAUGGCACAGGAAGGUUUGUACCUAAGAGCUCUGGGCAUCCUGGUAGUCUCCUACUCCACGUUCUAUUACAUGUUGGAGGAAAUAAAGACCUCAAUAUGUGAUGAUGAUUUCUGAGGUGUGCUACACAAGGAGAAUGUAGUAUGCUAGUAGGUUGGGGCUUUUCCUCCCUUUUAAGGUUUUUAUAUUCAGCAGCUAACUGGCUUAUGCUCUCCCUGGUGACACAUGGAGCCAUGUCCUCACCAUCUGCUGCACAGAAAUCCCUCUGCAUGUCCCUUUCCAGGAGAUGCACAGGAUCACGUGUGCCCGUGUCUGUGUGGUUUGCUGUGUGUCUGUACCUGCAACAGCCAUUUCAAGCAGCAUUUCCAUUGUUUCUGAAAGAGAAGUUCUGAGUUAUGGCAAGACCCAGACCUAGGGGGAAUGUGGGUAUUGGUUUUAAACUGUGCAUUUUUUUGCAACCCAGACUAACUGGGGCUUCAGCAAGUAUGAACAGGCAGAGGACACUGGCUAUGAUGAUAUCAGAAGGCUGAGGGAUGCAUGCAAUCUCCCUGGUGUUGAGCCACAAAGCAGGAAUUCCCAAGUGACCUCCAAGUAAGGUCUGGUCAAUAAGAGAAGCCCUUGACACGGAAGCAGAAGUUUUCCAAGCUGUACUUUGAAUUGUGAUAGAUUUUGGCUAAUAAAUCUGCUGUUCUUUCAGAGAGUCCCUAGAUAUGCCUAACACAUCUGGAAAUACCUGGAUGAACUUCCUGAGUCAGAUCCCAUGUCAGUUCAUGUUCUCCAUUUACCAGUGAAGAAAGCUUCCAUGUAACUACAACUGAAGUAGCCCUGUUGCAUUCAGUAGAACGGGAAUGUCUGCUUAUAUCAGGAUUAAACUUGGUGCACUAACUCUUACUGUUCUCAAAGCUCUGUUUUGAUAGAACAAUCUCUGUAUUCCUGAAGCUUUAAGAAAUUCCCCAGAGUGCAAAUUGCAGCGGUAGGCAGAGAGAGAUGCUGCUUCAGAAGGCUCCCUAAGUAACAAGAGUCAACAAUACCGUCUCUUGUCGAAAAGAAAUGAUGCAAAACAACAUUUUUUGACCAAAAUGAAGAGUUGUUCUUAAUGAAAGCGGGAGUUUUUAAAUUAUCAAGUUAUAUUAAAAGCAACAGUCUGGGCUUUUUUUUAUGAAAGUUGAAGUUGGACAAAUCAUUCACUGAUUAACUGAUUGCGAUGACUGACACUUUAUAUACAAAUAUUAAGUAUGGGUUAAUCAUAUGCCAUUGUUUCCAUUUUAAUUGCAGUCUGUAGAAAGGCACAUGGUAGUUUCUAGUGCUUACCUGCAAGAACCACUACUGGGAGGAUUUUGUUCUGGCCUCACAAAUGCCUCUGAGAGCUUCAACAGGACCGAGCCCACUGCUGGAUAAUGCCAUAUUACACAGGUAUUUCAAGUUCUUGGAAAGGGCUUGAGUGCAUGAGCAGCUGGAGAGUAGCAGCAAGGAAAGAGAAAUCAGGAAAGACUGGGAUGUGAACGUAGAUAUCCUUUAAAUGAAAUAAGCAGCCUCCUCCAGACAUAUCCAAUGACAAGAAAAUGAACCAAGCUCCCAAACCAUGGUACAAAUUCACAGCUACAGUUGGCAGCCUUUCAAUCAUAUCUAUGUCCAGCAAGACAGAACCUCCUGGAUACGGGGAACUGGCUGGGGAGCCAGGAGACCCAUCCUCACCUGUGUCUCAGAGCAGCCAUGCUCUAUGGUUUUACCAGCCUUGCUGUGCAGUCAUCCCAGAAAGACAUUCUGGCCUAGGAAGGUCAUUCUUUCUGUCUGCAAGGAGCACUGUAAGGGACAACCAACAUCUGGAGACCAAACCAGGGGUUACACUUUAGAAAUGGGAUCUACGCUCAGGAAUGUGAAGUGCACCCUGCUAGAACAUAUACAGGAGGCCAAAAGCAAUGAGAGAAAGGCGUAAGAACUGGAGGCAGCGGUGGUCCUCCCACCAGUGGUAUGUGGCUGUUCCUCUGCAGUAGCACAUUUACACAUCUAAAGAAACAUGAAUUACAACACAAAUCAAAGCAAUAUGGUUGCAGGAAGCUAAUCUCUGGGGGAGCGUGAGCAUCUCUCCGUGACAGGAGAGCUUCCACAAUGUUCUGCACUUCUGUUCGGAAACAGAAACCCCUCUGGAAAGAGCUCAGUUGCAGCUCCAGCCUUUUAACAACCAGGCCAAGCAGGUGCAGAUCUGCAUUGAAUUUCUGAAGUUUCCACUAGGCUGGAAGUGGAUUAAGCUCAAUAAAUGCACAAACCCGCCUGGGCUGAGUGACAUGGCAGGAGGUGGAUUGUGGGCUAUCAGCUGCUGCUGAGCCACUUAGGCAGACAGCCUUCCUCUGAAGUUAUCCAGGUGGCUCUGCUGAGCUUACAGUUCACCUCACAGCUGCUUUCUUUUUUUAUUUAAUGCUAGCAGGAUGCAGCAGCAACAGUACGAACAUCUGACAGAGCAUGGUGAGCUCCUGACCUGACUUUUAGAAGAGCAUCUUUUUGGCUCUGGUGUGCUUUGGAGUAAGCCCUGAAGUCCCUGUCCAUGCUUUACACGAGCAGCAUUGCUUGUAAUCAGUGUCCAACUCUUCCUCUGCUGUAGCUCCUGUUUCAUUUUUGUUCUUUGUGAACAUUCAGCCUACAGUCAAACAUCGAAAUGAAGUGGUUGGCUCGUGGUUAAGGAAAGGGAGGUAGAAGGCUUGGUUAGUUCUGAGCUUGGCCACCUGCACCCCAAGUGAUACCACCUAGAUUUGCCACACUGUCAAUCAAGCCCUUAACAUCUCUGCUGAGGUCUCUUAACAUUAGCAGCAUCCUCCUGCCUUUCUUUCUGCCUGGUGGCUCAGUGGCCAGCGCCCAGCUCCGGCCAGUUUCAGAGAGGAGCAACAAGUCAAGCCAAAAUGUAGAGACCUCCUUCAGAAGAGGUCAGCAGCCUGGGAAAGCUGACCAGAAAAGCUUUCCCAGAGGGAAAAAGGAUUCUAAUUCUCUCAAACACACUUGGAAGAUUACAUAGGCUGACUCACGGGUACAUUUAAUGGGUUUCUGGCAGAGUGUGAUUGUACCUCCUCAUUUGAACGGCUCAAAAUGAAGGCAGAAUUUUAGUCACACAGAAAUUACAUCAAAAGGAAAAGCCAGAUGUUUUGUGAAUCCAACCACUAAUGAGCUACAAGUGCUGUUUUUUUCCCAUUGUACAAGAAAAUUAUGAAUUUUUAAACAUAUACAAAACAAAUUGUUUGUGAUUACAUUAGACCUUCAAAAGAGAGUGGGAACAUAAAUUCAGAGAUGAAUAGCAUAAUAUUGGAUGCUUGCCUCACUGCUUGACUUCAAUAACUUAUCUCAAUAAAUCCCUCAGCAGAAAGCAUCUUAUGUACUUCAAGUCUGGAGAAGAUGAGACGUGAAUGCUGGAGGAAUUACAAGACAGAGGGGCUUUCUUGCAACAGUGAACAAGCUGAAAAUUACAAGCUCACUUGUGUCAUAUCACUGUUCUGAAAAACAUCCCCAGAAGAAGGCAAAAAAGCAACAGCCAAGUAAUGGAGCAAGGAAGGAAAAGCAGUGAAAGAAGAGACCACAAUCUCCUUUCUGUUCUGGUGUUUACAACGUCGGACCCUUCUGCAUCAGUGGGCACAGCUCAGUGCAACUCACACGGUGACUGGUGGGUGCUCAGAGUAAAGCUGGUGCUCCACAGAAGCUCCCAUUUUCAUCCUUUAUCUGUUAUGCCAAGACACGCAGCCAUUGCCCACUGAGUUGGGUAUUCAAAGAAAAAAAUAGCAUCCAAACCUGUGAUUUAAUGCAUUGCCUCUGCUUGGAGACAUCUGGUGAAAAGCAAUGUGUAGGAGGAACACCACAUUACUUAAUGCUGACAUCAGCUUGCUUUGCUUUGGAUUCUUAUUUGUUCUGUGGGAUCUUCAAGAACUGGAGAGCGUUGCAUGGACACCAGCAACCAGCAAAUGCUUCCUGUAAUGACAGUUAUUUGUCACACAGUCUCUCACCACUGGAUGUCUGCAGGGUGGAUGUGGGUGGGACCAGGCAAGGAAAAGAAUCCUUGAGUACCUUAUGUAGGAGAAGGCUUCUGGAGGCCUUCAGGGCAACCUCCUGCUCAGAGCUCCUUCAGGUAGACCAGGCUGCCAAGGGCCAUGCAGGUUGAGAUUUACAUACCUCUAAGGGUGGAGAUCCCAGAACUUCUAUGGGUUCUUGUGCUGGUGACCAACCACUGAGAUUGUUUUCCUUGUAUCCGGAAAGGAAUAUCCAGAAAGCUAAUAUGUAUAGAAAUGUUUCCUUGUUUCUUUUCACUUAUAUCACUGCAAUUUCCUCCAUUGGACACUGCGUUUGCUGCCUCUUCUCAUUGCAGGAAAAGCUGGAAUCAAGGUGUGCCAGCAUCUGUAUUCCACAGGGCUCUGUGAUAACCAGCCCCUGCACUUAUACCCAGAGAUGUGUUCACCCUUACUAAGAUCUAAGGUCUAAUUCUGAACAUAUUGAAGUCAACGAGUCUUCCCAUAAGCAACACCAAACAUCCCUUGAUGUCAACGACAAUUUGUGAAUGCUCAACAACAAUUUUAAAAUUAUUUCAUGCAGACUCAAACAAGAUCACUACGAGCUGGGGUUUUGCUGGGCCAUUGUACACGGGGCAGUAACUUGCACCUACAAACAAAUCUGUGUUUUCACAAACAUAACAAGCUGAAGAAGGAUCAGUGAACUAAGUGGAAUGCCUGAAGCGUGCCAGCACAAGAGACCUGGCAAAAAGAAAUGCUGCCACCAGCUGAAGCACUGAGCUCCACGGCCUGAAAGCAGCACUGGUUGGUACUCAGCUUCUCAUUAAGUAGGAAGUCGUUCCGUUUCUCUCCUAAUAUUUGCUGCCAUAGACCUCAAAUAGAAUUCCUUCUGUACGGGAAAGCACUCCACAGAUGAAUCAGUUCCUUUUGCGACGACGGCAAACUGCUCUGCUUCAUAAUUGAUUUUCCACAGACAAUUGAUUUAAACUUUUCAAACCCCUCAUGAUGGCAGGAUUAGAUCUGAGCCUUCACAGUGCCCUACAGUUUGCAGGGCAAGCUCCGAGCUACGUUGCUCUUUCACUGAGCUCUGCUUAAUUGGAUGACGGGGACAGAGUUCAAGGGCGAGCCAACAGAAAGUAUUUUAUUUAAACAUAGCCCUAAAGUACCUGUAAUGAGAAAGUGUCUCUCACUCCCACAUACAAAUGACUCAAGUAAUGUUUCUAUUCCAUUUACCUCUCUUACUUAGGUGGUUAAUACAGAGACCUGAUUUAUUUUAUCCUAUAGUUCAAGGAAAUGUGUUUAUUACGAGUUCCAUUAUAAUAUACUUAGCACAGCCCUUUCAAGUGAUGGCCAGAGGUUUAUUUAGGAACUCAUUCAGCAACAGCUGAGGCUAAAAGGAAGCUUUCAGAUGUCAGUGGAAACUGCAUUGGAUCUUUACUGACUGUUACAGGUGAAAAUAAUCAGUAUUAGAGCAGAGGGAAAGUGAUCAAACAUUUUUACAUGCAGUUUAUUGACACAAACAGCAUUAUUUCUCACAGUGCUUUGUUGCCAAUGAGUUUUUCUCCUAGGUUGUGUGGGGAAUACCAAACCUCUGUCACUGCCCAGUGAAUAUGUUUCCUUCUGACAAAAGGGUAAAUGGGAAUUCCAGAAUCUGGAGGUUCCAACAACUGCUCAGGACACUUCCACCCAUGUCAGGAUGGUCAGGCAGCAAUAAUGGUGUUUCCACAUCGCAGCCCACGUCAGCCAGACCUUGCAGGCAGAUCUGCCCAGACACCACGGAAGACCCGGGGGCUUUAAGAGUCAAAAAUCAAGGUCUUCUUCAAAUGGGAACCAGAACUAACAGCUUUUCUUUUUACAACACUCCUGAAUCGUGUGGGUAAGAUAACAGCUCCCGCUGUCCUCCUGGGGAUGGAUCCUUUCCUUAAGGCUCGCUCUCAGCGCCGUGCUCUGCAGCUUGCUGGCAUGCAGAGCACUCUGUGCAGGCACUCUGUGUAGCCAGAAUGCCCACGUGUGCUGCUGCAGAGCUUGGUGCUGGCCCUGACCCUGCUCCCUGCUGCACACCGGGCUGUCCCUGUGCUCAGCUCUACCACAUCCCUCUCCCAUGCACACCCCAGGACAGAGCUGUCUCCUGUCCCUCCCAAGGCCUGGCCUAUGAGCUCGCUUUCUGAGGGCAGGUUAUUAUGUUCAAGGAUGAAAAAACACUGCGUGCCACACUCAUUCAUUCGUCUUGCCUAGGAGUGUAACCCCGAAAUGAGGCUUGGCGUUUGGAAAGGAAAACAAGCAGCAGAAAUUUCAUCUGUUCACAUUGCUUUUCCAUUUGCAAACAGAGCCAGCCCUUGUUUGGUAAUGCCACCCCAGGGGCACGGAGCAUCUGACUCUGGGCAGAGCUGGGAUUAACUCAGAGCUGUGAUUAAUCUCCAGUGCCAUACCUGACCUGCCGGCCCAACGCCAUGCAGGCAGUGAUGCUGCUGCUGGGAGGGAGUGAUGCUCCCACAGGUCCCCAGCAGCUGAGCCAUGCUCAGCCCAAGGGCACCUGGGGGUACAGGGAGGGAGGUGGUUCCUCCUGCCCCAGAUUUGGGGCUGUGGCAUGUGGUCUUGUCCCAGGCCAAGCAAGGAGCCCUUGGGCUGACAUCUGAAACCAGAAGGUUCCACAAGUCCAGCAGUGUCCCCUUGAGAGCGGCUUCCACCCGCUGCAUUCACGCUCCUUCCCCCAGCACCAACCAGGGUAGCUGAACAGCCUGACAGCAGCAUCUGAGCCCGAGACAACCAGCUCAGGACAAAGGCAAAGCUAAUUGCUAUUGUGUGCUAUCAUCCUAACAGCGCUGGGAAGAAAUGCUCUCACAGCCUCUCCUCGCCAAGAAAAUAUUGACUGUUUGUUUUUCGUCGCAGUGACACUGUUAGGUUAUUCUGAAUUAAUACACAAGCCAGUCAAUAGAGAGGUCCCUGCUCGCAGCAGGCAUGCAGAACACCCGGCUGACAAGCUGGUCACAUCCAAGCAGCAAGGUUUUAACGGGGUGUAAAUGUCUUUAAUUACCCAGACUAAACAGCACAAGUUCAAGGUGACUCCCAACAGCUCCUAUUCAAAAUCUGCAUUUUCAUCUUCCUUAGAUUAAUUUGUAUUUUAAUUGCUCAUAUCACUGAUUGAAGUGCUUGUGAAGGGAGCACUUUCCUUCCUUUGAUCUGCUGCUUUCUCUGCACGCAGGCAAGGCUGGGAGUCAGGGAACCUACAGAACAGUUCUGCUUCGGGGAGCAGCCAGGGAACGGCUGGAACCUGACAGCAGCAGGGAAGCAGGGCCUGCCAUCAAGCUGCCUAAUGCUUCUCACCUUAUCCCACGUGUUUAAAUCCUUACACUGCUAUGAAAGCAAGAGAGACUUCAUCAAUUUUAUCCAAAUUGGAGCCAAGAAGAUAUUCAGAGAAGGCAGGGCUUGCAUUUUCCCAGCGCCAUCAGCCUGCACAUGUCUGUGGCACAAGCUGUCCCCUCGCAACAGUGGCUGUGGCCAUGAGUUCCCUCUUGUUAUGCAGAGCUGAACUACCAAACAGCUCCUCCUACACAGGCCAGCAUCAGUUCCACAAAGGAGACAAACCAGUAGGGCUGUGAUAAAUGCAGUCACAUCACAAGUGGAUUGGAGAAAGGACGGUGAGCCACGGUGCUCUUGCCACAGCACACCAGUGAGGAGCUCUCGGAGAAGCUGAAAAGGGCAAAAUUCAAAGCCAGCAAAAAGAAACACUUUCUGCUGUGAUUAGCCUGCAGCGCUCAUUGCCAUGGGACGCUCCUGAAGGAAGAGCAAAGAUUUGAAAAGGCAUUGGGAAUGCACCUGCCUCUCACGGCUCUCUCAAGAUGAUGGCUGUCAAAACAGGGGAAGGGGAUCUCGCUGCUGUCUUUCAGUGUGUUCUGUUCCAUCCACACCUGGCUGCUGGGGGCUCAGCAUCCCCGCUCUGCCCCCACCAGAGAGCAGAGCCCAGCACAGGCUGCUGCUGGGACACCCAGCCUGGGGGGGGUCCCACGCUGCAGGGUGCUGCUGGCCAGGAGCAAGCCUGCUGCUCACAGCAAGCAUCAGCCAUGGCCCGACAUGCUUAAAGAAAACAAACGAACAAUAAAGCGAAGGCUCUCUGAGCAAAGAAUGCAAAGUACAGAUUUUUUUUCCUGGCUGUCCAAGUAGCAUAGCAACCCUAAAGGGCUUCCACUGGGGACAUGAGCACACCCUUGCGCAAGUGGAGCCUGGUCAUUUCUUAAAAAAAACACCCACACGUUCACGGUUCAAAACCCAGCGCUUCCGUGUUAAGAUAGGAGGCUUUGCACCAGCUAUUUCUGUAUGUGCAAACCAGCCACACGGGCUGCCGACACUGGGAGCACCGGGCUCUGCACCGGGGCAGUGCUUCUGGCAAGGAGCUGCUGCUGCCCCCAGGGACCACUGUGCCAGCCCCCCCCCAUCUGGGUGACGGCCAUCCCCCCCUCCCACUGCUCUCCUCCCUGCCAGACCACUUCGCCCAACUUUUGAUAUGCACUUCCGCCUUUAAUUUGAUUAGUGACAGCUGCUAUUAUCUGAGGAAAUCUAAAUUGCCUCUUCCUGUGCUAAUGAAUCACUGUACAAUGUGUGUGGGGAUUAGAGAACAAGACGGAUUUAUUAAUACGCUGCUAAUUAAAGGGACAGUUCCACUGUUCCAGCGGCACUCGGUGAAAGGGCUGUAGCAGGUUUUGGAGGUGGAGAGGAGAGCCACAGGUUGUCACUUCUAAUUACGAGCAACACUCAUACCUAUGUAUCUUCACAGACUGCAAUUAUUCGUGGGGAUACUGAUUUGUGUGCAAGAGCAGGGCAGUGGCGUCCAUGGCACACUGCACUCCUGUGCCUGCAGCAGCAGACAGCCCCGUGAAGUUCCAGCAUUCCUACUGCACCAGCUGCCUGGGGGUACACCGAGGAGAGGGGCAUCCUAAAAACCACCAGCCAGUUUACAAAGCGCUGGUGAAGGGUUUUGUAAACUAAGCUUAUUUGCUGCAACAACAGACCUGCCUGCAAGAAGAUGCGAUCUGAAUAUGCGAUGUCCCAAGGAGUUAUUGUCAUGCAGUUGGCUGGGUAAAGAAAGGGACCGUAAAUUUAAAAAAAUCUGAGUAUAUUCUUCUUACUUAUCUUGUACCUAAUGCCAGGAACCCAGAGAGAUGGCUUCCAAGCUCCCUUACCAGAAGGUAACAGAACACAUCACUCCUGCUUUAGCAGAGAAAUGGGACUGGUCAGGAACUGCACUGCAACGUCUUCACAAUCACAGCCCAAAGCAGCAACCUGAAACCACACUGAGGGAAAAAAUGUCCAUGUGCAGACAUGUCCCACACCCAGAAUCACGGCAUCAUUUUGGUGAGCAGAAUAUCUAAAAUGGUACCGUCACUCUUAUGCAAUUAACUUUAUAUCGAGAAGCUUAACUUCUCCAUGGAUGAUCCAAGAAUGAUGCGACAGAGGGAACCAAGGAAGAUCCUUUCUCCUGAACUCACCUUUUCUUCUAAUUCUUUUUCCCUUGGAACAUAAAAGCAUGGAUGUAGUAUCAGUAGGAUUAAGACAGAACAGGCAGAGAAUAAACAUAAUACCACAUCCAGGAGGAUGAGCUGUUCCAAGAUGUUCUCUGCAGCCUUUACCACUCAGAAGAGCAAUAUUCCUCCUUAAGGCAAUACUGUUUGUGUGGUGAGGCUAUUUACCUAGGUGGCAGAGCAGUGUGAAUUUAUGUGAUGAUAAUCUCAAUCCAUUUAAAUCACCAGGAAUCUCUUCAUGGACUCAUCUCUUGCUUUGGAUCAGACCCCAAUCCUCAGCAGAUGUAAAUCCCUGCCUCUCCACUGACUUCCCAAGAACUGUGCUGGGUUAGGUCAGCAGACGCUGCUGCCCUUUCUCUCCACAGUAAUUCAACAUGCAUAAUUACCUGCAAAAGCAUUCUGCUGACAACAGUCUUCUCUUCUCAAAUGAACUACUUUCACUGCGUUCCCAGGUUCUUCAUCUUCUCUAAUAACUUUGUACUCUAGGUGGAUUAUCCAUCACCAUAAAAUCAUUCAUUCCUUCAGAUACAGUUAAUUUUAAUGAGGUCGGCAUGAACUAACAAGCCAUUGAUUCACAUUUAUAGAUACAGUAAACAAUUCUUGAUUUCUUUCAUUCUCUACACUUGAGCGUGCUAAACAGAUUUAGAACGUCAGCCUGUACUGCACGUUGGAUGCACGCCCACCCUAUUAUUGGGAGGUAUCCAAACAUCACCUACAUGGUUACCACUGUCUGCUGUGCUGAAGAGAAACUCAGAGCAUACUGGAAUGAGCAGACCUGCAGGGUAACCCGAUUUCCUGUGGUCACUUCAAAUAAAUGAACAAGAUUCAGGUUUCACCUCUCACUUUGUAAAGCUGACGCAUAGCUCAAAAGGGAGCAGAAAUGCUUUUCGUGGUGGAUUCUCUCUUUUGGAGGUUAAAGAGUAGGGGUGCCUAGAUUGCUGUUAUAAUGGAGAAAGAGACAGUCCCCAGUUGGACUUCAGCUAAUUUUGGUGUUGGGGAGCUCACUGCUGUGCUCAUUAAGGGCUCACAUUUAUGGCAGCAGAAGCACAUGGAGAAUCUCAAUGCAAACACUGCAAUUCAAAACAGAAAAAGUCUUCAAAUGCUUUUGAGCUACCUGGCCCAAACCACUGUUCCUCUUACUUAAGUGCCUCAGUUUAGCCUGCACGAAUCACUCUAAGACAAACCUCUGCCUAGAUUUGACACAGAAAUUAUAGAAUUUUGGCAUGUGAAAAGGGCAAACCCCAGAAUUAGGAGCUAGCCUGGGACUCAAAGCAUCAGUAGACCCAUCUUACACAGCCAGAAGGGUCUUCAAGAGCACACGUAACGUAUCUCUUUGCUAACAUGCCCAUAUCCUGGAUUUAGUUCCAGAGAUGCUCCCCCAUCAGCUGUGGAGCCACCCAGUGCCCUCUGCUCCACUCCCUCACACAUCUUCCAUGAAAAGCUUUUUCCAGUAGACAUCCAGCAUCUUCCUAAUCCUAAGCAUCCUCACUCUGUCUAGCAUAGAUAACAAGGGCAAAUCACUCUCUUUCCAUUUUUAACUGUUUUAAAGAUUCCUCUGCUCCCCUCAGCCCCUCUCCAUGCCAGUACGUGCUCCACCAGGCCCCUCAGGCUUCUGCUCUCCACCAGUAACCAUGGGACAACCACACCAUGCCUCCCUCCCUCCGAGGUUCCCAGUUUCAGAUACUACUGCAGGCAGCAGGAGCUUUUUCAAAGUCCUUAGGAGCGAUGGAAAAUGCUGUUAACUAGGAAUUCAGCUCAAGCAUUGGAAAACAAGACCCUUUCCCUCACAAGAAAUUCAAGUGGGCUUCUGUAUCAUCACAAGUCAUCACACAGAGCCAUCCCAUGGUGUGCUGCGAAGGGACUGCUGCAGCAUUCCACCAGCUUUAGGUGGUGUCAGGAAGCCAGGCUAUGCAAUCAAGAAACAGGAGACUUCUGUGAGACCACUGCACUUGAUUGGGCACACCCAUAACAACUCUUAGCUGCAACAGGGAUGGGGUUAAGCAGAAGAAGGAGCCCUGCUGCAUUGGGUCCCAGGAACGGAGGGGCUAUGUAUCCUGCCUUUUGUCAACACAAGCAUACAGAAACAAUAAUUUCUCCCUUGCCUAAUUAAGAGAUGUUAAUUUAAGUGUGGUUUCCAGCAUGUGCUUAAGAAGCACAAUUACUGCUUUUGCAGCAUAAAAGAAAAAUCUCAAAUAAGCUCCAAAGACCAGGCCUUGGGUUCAGGGUCACUAAACAAACCAACUGGCUUUGAUUUCCAUAGAUCAUAAAAACCUAUUGCUCAUCAUGUUCUUACCAGACAAAUCCCUGAGUCUCAAGGGACCAUUUACUAAAUAAUUCUUCAGCUUCUGAGUAGGAUAAACCUGGUCCUAACUGCAGUGUUCUUGAAACAACCUGGGGGAUGAAUUUCUUUUCCUCAAAUCCUUUCAGUUCCAAGGGGACAGGAACGAUUUCUUGCAUUCGGGUUGAGAAUUUGCCUAGAAGAGGAGAGCAGCUGUCACAAGUGAUACACGGGUUUGCAAAUCAAGACUUAAGGAGACGCUUGGGAAGGAUUUCAUAGGACACAACCUCAGAGAACAAGUCUCUCAUCAUGGUUCCUUCUUCAUCACUUCUGUAUGAGAAAAUGAGGAUCCAUCUAUGUUCAAUCACAAAGUGAAAGUGUGGAAAUAAAUGGGAGUGGGGCCCCAGCAGGGCUGGCACAAGAGCUGUGGAUGCACACAGCUUAGUGUACCCGGGGCAGUUUGGAGGUGCCACCAGCACCCCCCUCAGUGUUAAAUACGCUCCUUUAUCAGCAUUUACCAGAGCAGAACCAGCAAAACGAAGGCAAACAGGAUGAGAAAUAGACUGCUUUGCAUUCAGAGCUCCAGUAAACCAACACUGUAGGAUAUAUCACUACCAGAGGGGAAGGAAAGGGAAAAUGAAGCUAAACCUUGGUAUUAUUAAAUGCAAGAUGCAAAAACAUUUAAAGUGACACCUUCGUGAAGAGAGCUUUUAAAUUAUUCACAGUCAAUGCAAUACAAUCCACAGCUAAUUACAGUCUAUACAUGCAAAUGAAAGUAAUGAUAAUCAUAAUUACUUUGCACUUAUAUACUGUAGCAAUUUUCAUCUGAAGGCCUCAAAGUCUUCAUAAACAUUAAUUAAUUCUCCCGUCAACCCGGCGCGCGAGGUAACUGUUACCGUAAUCCCCACUUUAAAGUCGGGUAAACUGAGGUUCAGAGAGGCCAAGUGAUUGCCUGGCUGUGAGCAGUGCAGGGGAGCAGAGGGGCAGCUCAAUGCUGGGCCAGGUGAAGGGCAGGUACCUGAGCUGAGGAAGGAGUUGGAGAAGAACACAGCAGCACUGGGUGUAUAGUUCACUGUAGUUUUAUAGUUUAGGCACAUGGGCUUACGUGAAGGCUACCCAGUCAGCCCUGAGCCUUCUGUCUUCUGCACAUAGACUGCAGGGUCGCAAUAAAGCCUCACUACCAGGUAAUGUUAAGGACAGAAGUUUGGGCAAUUGGGGCUGGCUGCAUCUGGCAUGCAGACACCAAUGGGCUUCACAAAUUGGUUCUCUGUUUCCUGCUCACAUCCCAUUACAUUCUGAGACUCCAGAGGAAGAAACCUAUCCGUGAUGCUUCAGCAGCACCUGCCACAAGGCAGCCGUGAGGCAACCCCAGAGCUGCUCCUUCAUAAAGGAAACCGAUCUAAUACAGCUCAGACCUCCCAGGACAAGCUGCUGGCUCCUUCCUGGGCUAAUGAUCUGAGUCACGGGGUGCAAGAGAUAAAUGGACUUGGGAAAUCCUCUCAGCAGAAGAUCUGACAAUCCAGAAGACAACAGAGCACAACUUCUAGCUCCGUUCACCUGUAAUUACUUUCCUCUAUUUGCAUGCAGUGGCUCCCAAAACGCGCUCAGAUUUUCUCCGUACGCACAAUUUCCAAAGGCCGUUGUGUGUUAAUCAUUGUCUGGUACCAUAAAAUGCAACAGCCAUCAAUAUCAAGCCUGCCAACUUAACAGACUCUUGUAAUGGGUACAUUUCUAUAGACCUACACAAUAAGACUAAUUGCAUGGGCUUGCUGUAAAAGCCAGAGGUCGUUUGAUUACUAGCUGUUUUGUACCAUGAAAGUGCACAUUAAUUAUUUAAAAGAUGGACUUAUAAUUAUUGUAAGCUCUAAGUAAUUACCUAUAAUUUUGGCAAGUGUUAGAAAAACUGAUAGUCUAGCAAAUUCAGGUUUUAGUCAUUAGUAAGCUCAUAAUUACAUUUAAAUUGCAAAAUGAGAAUUAUGCAAUUUAUCUCCCCAAUAAUGCAUAAACAUUACAGUGAUUGUAGGUUUUAAUGGACUAUAUUAUUACUAUAAAAAGCAGAGCAGUGAUGGGCAGUGAGGAGCAAUUUGAGUUCAUUGCUGUUAUUUUACAUUGUAAUUGCUUAUCAACAACUGCACCGCGAUGGCUCUCCUUGAUUAACAUGGGAUAAGCCCAUUCCACCCACCAAACUCUAUUGGAAAAUUAAAAAAAAAAAAAAAA